UACGAGUGCCCCGAGCGUUAUCCGGAAUCAUUGGGCGUAAAGCGCACGCAGGCGGUCGAUUAAGUUUGGAGUGACAGUUGGUGGCUUAACUGCCAAAGUGCUUCGAAAACUGAUCGACUUGAGGGCUUCAGAGGGACACGGAAUUCCGGGUGGAGUGGUGAAAUGCGUAGAGAUCCGGAGGAACACCGAAGGCGAAGGCAGUGUCCUGGGGAGUACCUGACGCUCAGGUGCGAAAGCCAGGGGAGCGAACGGG
rnacentral:rRNA from 1 species